rnacentral:rRNA from 1 species
AUUGAACGCUGGCGGCAGGCUUAACACAUGCAAGUCGAGCGGAGACUUCGGUCUUAGCGGCGAACGGGUGAGUAAUACCUAGGAAUCUGCCUAUUAGUGGGGGAUAACGGCUCGAAAGGGUCGCUAAUACCGCAUACGUCCUACGGGAGAAAGUGGGGGAUCUUCGGGCCUCACGCUAAUAGAUGAGCCUAGGCCGGAUUAGCUAGUUGGUAGGGUAAAGGCCUACCAAGGCGACGAUCCGUAGCUGGUCUGAGAGGAUGAUCAGCCACACUGGAACUGAGACACGGUCCAGACUCCUACGGGAGGCAGCAGUGGGGAAUAUUGGACAAUGGCGCAAGCCUGAUCCAGCAAUACCGCGUGUGUGAAGAAGGCCUUAGGGUUGUAAAGCACUUUCAAUUAGGGAGGGAAAACCUAGUCGGUCAAUACCGGCAGCUUGACAUUACCUUUUAGAAGAAGACACCGGCUAACUACCGUGCCAGCAGCCGCGGUAAU